rnacentral:lncRNA from 1 species
GGAGGGAGAUGAGAAGAGUGUAGGUGAGGUCCCGGUUGUUGGCUUUGACAAUGGGUGUGUUGUGAUGCUUCAAAAAUGUUCCCAGGACCAGAGCUGUGAUGAAAGAAAAGGAAAGGGCAAAACAGGCUAAAAUGAUCCCCAAAGGUUCUCUGUAAGUCAAGAAGCUUAUAUCCUUGGGAAUACAUAGAUCCCGAUUAUUGUUUGGAUAUUCUUCUUCUGAACAUUGAUUGCAGUCAUUCAUAUCUGAAAAAAGGAAAUAUGUGUUGUGAUAUUUGUUUGGAAUAUUCAUGGUAAUGCAUUUUUUUGGAGGUUUUAUGUCUGGUUUGAUAAAAAAUUAUUUAAAGCUUGGGACCAUAAAUGUUAUAUGUCAGGAAUGGUUUGAAGAAAAGUAAUCCUAAUAGAGUCCUAAAUUUACAGGCACAUUCCUCUGUCUUUCAGGCAGACCCAUUCUAUUUCGCAACGCUGUACAAUAUACACAUAAUACUUACCCUCCUGAUCUGAAAUCUUCCCUUCUGGACAGGGGAUGCAAUCAUAACAGCAAAAUGGCUCUCCCUCUUUCAAUUUCUUCCUAAAGCCAGGGUGGCACCUCUCAUUACAUAAGGAAAGAGGCUGAAACUAAGGUACAAAUGAGAGAGCACAAUAAUAAUGCUGAGAAUAGUGAGUUAACAAAAAGACCCCAAAAUAUUUUGAUUUUCCUAAGUGAUACAGUGGAACCUUGGUUUUCAAAUGUAAUCCAUUCCAGAAGUCUGUUUGACUUCCGAAACAUUUGAAAAUUGAGGAUCAAAGGGCUGUCAACAAGUUCAAAGGAAAAGGAAAAGAAAAAAGCUGCUCAGAAGCCAUUUGACUUCCAAGGCGCAUUCGAAAACAGAAGCAUUCACUUCUGAAAUUUCGGCAUUCGGCUUUCAAAACAUUCAGCAGCUAGGACUUUCAAAAAUUGAGGUUUGAUGCCACAUCAUGCAUAUAUAUAUAUAUAUAUAUGACACCACCUGCAUAUUGAUAUUGAUUCACUACAUUACCUGUAUGUGCUUUUAUACAAUAGAUAAUUCAAGAUUUAUAAACUUUGUGUUUUCACACACACACACAUUUUAUUUAAAUAUUUGACAUGCACUAAAUGUAACACUUCUGCUUGAACUAAACAUUGCCAGUAGAGCAUGACUGAAUGUUAAAUGACUUAUAUUAUAAUCUUAUGUAUAUUUAAACCAAUAGAGAUAUGAUUAAAUUCUAUAUAAAAUUUUCUCUGAACCAUUUCUACAUGAAUAAAGGCAAGAACAGAGCAACAUUUGUUUGUUUAUUUGUUUGAUCUCAUUAUAGACCACCUUUCUCGCAGGUUAGUAUUCAAGAUGGCUAAUUGUGGAAUCAUAGCCACUUGUGGAAUCCCAUUUUCCCAACAGUUUAUCCAUUGUGCAUUCUCAGUGAAAUCCCCUGCCUCCAGAUUUUAUAGUUUUCAUCACUGUCUGAUAAAAAUUAUUUUACACAUCAGGACAGAGCAUCAGUAUUCAUUCAAAACUGGAUGUCUUUUCAAAUUGCAGACAAUUGGAUCCUACCUGGUUAAACGUGCUAUACCAUGUUAUCUCAUCUGCAUUGAUGGUGAAUACUUUGUUGGGGUCCACCCUUCCAACUUUCACUCUGUGAAAUGAUUGGUUUGAAGAAACAAUCCAGUUGAUUACAUCAAAUCCAGCCACUAACUCCCCAAACUCAUCAAAGAAAAUCUUGUCCCCACCGCUGUUGUUAAACGUGACAUUUCUGAGAAAUUGAUGUAGCUAGGUUGAAUAGCAAAAAGCAAUAGUUUGGAAAAGGCUGAAGUUAGAUCUUGCAUAUUAAGGUCUAACGUCUACGGUUUUCUAGUGAGAAAAGACUACAGAAACACAAUAAUUAAAUUAAUGCACAUAAGUCUUAAUAGAAUGGAUGCCUUUAUCUUACUGACAACACAGCUAGGGAUAUAAGGGGAAUCCUUUAGUAGCAAGCAAAUUUCCUCCUGUUCACCUGUUCAGCCCCUAUCAUAGUUAUUCCUUAAGUCUCUUUUGUCCUUAAGUCUCUGCUGCAUUUUUUAAAAGGUUUGUACGUAAUAUGUAAAUAUUGUGUUGCAAUCUACAUAAUCUACAUAUUCAUCAAUGUAUAAUUGCUGUCCCAACGGGGGUUUCAUUGCUUUUUUCCCUUUUUUUCUGAAGUGUUGUUUGUUGACUCUGUGUAUGUGUAAAUUGUUGCUAGAGGCUAUAAUCCAAAUCCAACCCAGAAGUAAAACCCAUUUAAUUCAAGGGGUUUAUUUCCCAGGUAAAUGCAGGUAUGAUUGUAAUGUUAAUACACUUGCUACUAUGAAGGUUGAAGCCGAAUGGAAUACACUAUUCAUUAUUUUUCUGCAGUUUCACACACAUUGCCUUUUAUGUAUUAAAAUGCCUUUAUGAAACAGAAUGUUUCAUUAAAAAAGGAUUUCAUAUAAUCCUGAACACAAACAGCAAAAUAUCAACAGGGUCAGCAGGAUUCUAAAUAGCCAUUCCCUGAUGCCAGAGUGAAGAAAGAAAUACUGGAUUAAGUUUAUGCAGAGCUUUACAGUGAAGAUAGCACAAGCAAGACCAAUACUAGCCAAUGUGGUAUUCACUUCCAGAUAUUGUUGGACUACGAUACCUUUCCCACCCCGACCUGGCCACAGUGAUCCAUGCGACGGUCACCUCCAGGCUUGACUACUGUAAUUCGCUCUACGCGGGGCUGCUCUUGAAGCUGUCCCAGAAACUCCAGCGGGUGCAGAAUGCUGCAGCGAGGCUCCUCACGGGGUCUCUGCCAUGGGAGCAUAUUCACCCAGUGCUUUUCAAGCUGCACUGGCUCCCGGUGGAGUACAGGGUCAGAUUUAAGGUGCUGGUUUUGACCUUUAAAGCCCUUCACGGCCUAGGACCCUCGUACCUACGAGACCGCCUCUCGCGUUAAGCCCCACGAAGAGCCUCAAGGUCCAUAAAUAGCAACACCCUAGUGGUCCCAGGCCCUAAGGAAGUUAGAUUAGCUUCAACCAGAGCCAGGGCCUUUUCAACUCUGGCUCCGGCCUGGUGGAACGCUCUGCCUCAUGAGACCAGGGCCCUGCAGGAUCUGAUUUCUUUCCGCAGGGCCUGUAAGACAGAGUUGUUUUGCCUGACCUUUGGCUUGGAGUCAAUUUGAUUCCCUCCCUCUCUUUUUUUUUUCUUUUCCUUCUCCUCCUGCGAAGAGGCUACAUUUUAAUAUUUUAAUGUUUCAAUAUUUUAAUGUUGUAUUUUAAUUUUGUUUUUAAGUUGUAAUCAUUCAACUUGUUUUUAUUAUUGCUUGUAAGCCUCUCUGAGCCCGGCCUUGGCUGGGGAGGGCGGGGUAUCAAUAAAAAUUAUUAUUAUUAUUAUUAUUAUUAUUAUUAUUAUUAUUAUUAUUACAACUCUCAUCACCCCAGAUAGUAUAGUCAAUAGUUAGGGAUGAUAGGAGUUGUAAUCCAAGAAUGUAUAGAGGGCAUCAUGUUUACUACCCAUGAGCAAGACCGUAUCUCAUUAUGAGGUCCAAAUAGUGUGAUACACACAAUCCAGGAAGAUAAAAGCUACAUACCUCACAUUAAUAUACCCAGAGAUCACAGAGAUCACAGGAGAAUACCCUACACUGAUCAGUAACAGUGUACAUUGUUUAUAAACCUAAGUACACUGACAAAAAGGAAUGAAUCAGAGUAGACUGAUAGGCUAUUAUUUCAACUCUAGUUGAUUGAAUAUGAAGAAAGAUUGAAAGAUGAGCACUGGAAGAGUUGCAGGGAGUUAGUUUUAUUAUACAGAUUGUGGCAUACUGUACCAUGGUUGUGCCUCUCUGCCACUUGAACAUGUUGAGUCCAUUACCUGCCACAACUGUUGAUUUUGCCAUUUCAGUCCCUCUCUAUUUUCCAUCGCUCUGUGUUUGAGUCUAGAUGACAGUGCGUGAUGUAAAGCAUGAGCAGCAGCAUAAACAGCAUUGUAGAUGCUGUAGCUGUGGCCAGACAUGCUGGUUUCAAAAAACGUUGCCGGAAGGCUGUCCAGUUUCUCGUCCCCAGUGCAAAUAUCUCCCUCCACAUCUCCCACAUCUGGAUUUGGGAAAACACAGCCAAAUGCCUGUUGCCAGAAGUCCCUGAUAAAACCAUUUGCCUUUGCACUGGAAGGACUUUGGCUCUCAGCAAAUGAUUUGAAUUUUGGCAGAUCAUUGGAGUGGAUUGUGAAGGACAGAACACCAUGGAAUAUUUGGGUAUCCCAAUCCUUUUGAUAGACCUGUGAAGUGAGCUCCAUUUCAGCUGUUGUUAUCCACACUAUUCCUUUUGGUAGACUUGGUGGAUGUUGUGCAAAAUAUGGAAGCCAUCUCAAAAAAUACAUGGAAACAGAUUCUCCAUUAAAAACAACCACAUUGGCUGUACUGUUCCUGACUUCACUAUGCAUUUUUGCACCUUCUUCAAGUAUUUCUUUAAUUUCAUCAAUGGAAGUCAACAUGGGGACUCUUUGUAUGAAGGAAAAGCAAACUCCACUAUGGGAAAACAUUGGUGAUACAGUUUGUAAAAAUCUUUCACCACUUUCAUCAUUCAUUAUAAAGACUCCAAUCCAUGUCCACCUGAAAUGUAGUAGCAAAGAGAGAAUCCCUGCAUACUGAAGGGUUUCCUUAGGGACCAUCUGGUAGAAAGAAAGGCCUAGAGUUUUAUAAUUCAUCUGUGGAAUGGAGCCAUAGAUGAGCUGGAGAGAGAAUGGGGAAGGGGGAAAAUGACAAUAGCGUACUUUAUGUUGCAAUGUGAAGGAUUCAAAAUAGUGCAUAUAGAAUGGAAUCCAGUGCUGUCCACCCCUGCUGAUGGAUGCUACCUCUCAGCAACAUAGGAAGUGAGCCAAUGUUGUGGAUUUCUCCCUCCCCUCAGAAGCAUGCUUGUGGAUUGAGGGGACUAAAGGAGCAGAAAGAAUUAUGGUCAUAUUUUUCUUCUUUAUAAGUGAAUAAUAAACAGCAGGUUCAUUUCUCUCUCCCUCUCUCUUCCUAAAUUGAAAACAACCAUACGAAUAAAACAAAACAAACACCAGCAAAUAGAGUAUCACAAAAGAAUAUAAAUAACACCCAACUAGUAAAAAUAUUCUUCCAAAAUAUAAAAAAUGAAUUCUGUCUCAUUAUUUGUAAGGGACAUAUUGAUGACUUUAAUUUUCACUGUAGAAAAUGUUGAGGAUUCAAGAAAUGAGAAUUAAACUCCCAUACUACACACCUAUACACACACAGAGAGAGAGAGAGAGAAAGAAAAAGAGAGAGAGAGAGAGAGAGAGAGAGAGAGAGAGAGAGAGAGCGCUGUCCUACCUGUGGAACCUUAUAGAUAUUCAGGAGAUUUGCCAUAUUCAUGGAAAUUUCAGAAUCCAGUCCCCCAAUAACUGCUAUCAGAUUUUUCAUUUUGUCACAAAUGUAGUUCGGGAUAAAUCUCUCCAGUGCUGAUAGAAGCAGCAUUGUGGCCUGAUAGGUCCACCUGGCAUUGUUAUAGCUGUCAUAAAUGUGGAAGCCCAAAGUGAUAUUGGGUAACAUCUGAGGAUUUUCAUUGAUCUCCUUUACUGCGAAGUCCAAGGCCACAAUGUGCUGGUAAUGCUUAGGUAUUACACUAGAAUGAAUUUGAGAUUCUGUAUCAUGAAGCUAUUCCACAUGUGCUCAGUAUCUGAUUCAUUAAUUACUCAAUCAGUCUAAUAAUUAAUGAUUACAUUAUCUACAUGUUAUAUUUCUUGAAGCACCUUUUGCUGUAAUAGAUAAGCACUACCACAUAACAAUACUUUCAGACUACGGUAUCUUUUUCAAUAUCAUUUGCUAAAAUGAACUACACUGAAAAGUUAAAUGAGAUGGGUAUUCACAGCCUGAAAAAAAGUUUGAUGGAACACCUGAUAGCUGUCUUUAAAUAUAUACAGAAUGUAGAGCAUAUAAUAUAACAAAGAAGGUAGUCUUUUCUUCUUUAUCUCCCCACCCCCCCGCUCCAUUGGGAAGGCUUGGAGAUAGCAGGUGGAAACUGCAAAGGAGUAGAUAUUGGCUAAUCUUAGGUGGAAAACCAAGCAGUAAAAGCUGUUUGGGAGAGGAACAGACUGGGAGGUGGUGAGCUGCUCUUGGCUGGAGGUAUUUAAGCUGAGGCUGGACAGCUUCUGUUAUGGAUGCCUUAGUUUCAAGAUGUCCUCCACUGAACAAAGUUGGACUCUAUGAGCACCCAUAACCCUUCCAUUUUUUAAAAUAAGGUGUUAUUUAACAUACUCAUACACAUUCAUACUAGCAACAUUUUCAUUCUGUGUAAGCUGCUCACACUGUCCACUUUACUAAAACAGAAUUCACUGGCACAUAAACAACCAUUAAGGUCUUACACAACCGAUUCUGAUAAUGUUGGUAGGGGUUCUUCUUUGAAUUCGCUUUCACUGGCGACAAAGCUGCCAUGAUAAGCGAUGCCACCAAUGAUGAGAUCUCCUUUCUGAUGAUACAUGUGAACUGGAUGCUGUGGAUAAUGGACACUGCAUUGAACAAUGGGAUCUUCACAUCCUGUUUGAGGAAACAGGACCAGUAGCAAGAUGACUAAAACUGCCAUUCUAAGUACAAGGAAAAAUAUUCCAUCUACAUCCAAAAUCUCCUACGUUCUUCAACAGAACAAGCGUCACAGCACCUGCAACUAAAACUGCCCAAACUGAACAUUUUAUGUUUCCCAGAGGCCUGAAGCUGUGGAGCUUUGCCUGUUCCCAGUCCCUCGCCCUACUAGGUAUUAUACUGGGUAUAUUUAUGACAUUCUUCAUGGUCUUUGUUCUUUGUUUUGCUAGUGGCCACCAAAAAUCCACAGGGAUUUGAAUGAACAACAGAAUUAAUUUCUGCCCUUUUGACAAGGUAAUUGUGAAGUUAAUUGCUACUUUUAAGGUGGGGACGUCCCUGUAGAGCUAGGAAAGUUUGUUUGUCACACAUUUUGAACUGAAAUAUUCUUUCUUAACUAGCUAAGAAGGGAUGGCAGGACUUGGAGUCAUUGACAGUAAGAUAGGGACAUUAUAUUCAAUGCUUUAUGAUAAGCGUCACCAAUAUGGCACUUGUGUGUGCCAGUAUGCUAUCGCACACUACAGCCCCAGAACCAGAGCAGGGCUCGUGGGAGUUUGUGUUGUGUAGGAGUUCAAAGGAAGAAGCCCAAAACACCAGAAUGAUCAGUUCUAGUGCUUUAUUGAAGAAAGAUAUUGGCUAACAGCAGCCUGCCACUUCCCCUUGCCCCAGCUCAAAGCACACAGGCAUGGCCUUCACAGCAAGGAGAUGGUUGUCCACAUUCAAAUGGAAGUGCAUAUAUUCUUUAUAUAGCUCCUCUCCAGUCAUUCAGCUGCUGCACAGCACUUAGCUAAGCCUAACUGCUCUUAACAUAUUAUCCAGCACUGUCUUGUGGGUCGCUCUUUGCAGACUAACCAGAGAUAAAGCAAAAAUUACUCUAUGAUUUACAGUUGGUUGCAAACAGUGCCUUGUCGACAUAGCAUCCCAGCUGUGGACUACUAUUUUUCCAUAUGUUAAACAGGCACAAACAUUGGCCAGAUAAAUUCCUUAUUCUGGCAGGCUUCCUUUAUUUCUUAUUAAAUGUUCCCUGUUAUUAAGCUCAGGCCGCAACACAAUAAUGUAGCAUUUUGGGGCAAAAAUGCAAGUCAGAAGUCCAGCACUAGAGGCUAAGAUAGAGAAGAUCUCCACAGCUACCAUAUAUUUUCCCUUGGUACUGAGGUAGCUUGGAAAGAAAGAUAUCCAAACACUACAAAAGACCAGCAUACUGAAAGUGAUGAACUUGGCUUCAUUGAAACUGUCAGGUAACUUCCGGGCAAGGAAAGCCACAGUGAAGCUGACAAGAGCCAGGAAGCCCAUGUAGCCCAGGACACAGUAAAACAUAGUCACAGACCCCACAUUACAUUCUAGUACAAUUUUCUUAGCCAUUGAGUGCAUGUCAGCGUCAGGGAAUGGGGGUGAGGAUCCCAGCCAAGCAGUACAGAUACCUAUUUGAAUAAGGGAACAGGAAACCACAAUGGAAUUGGUCAUUCUCUUCCCCACCCACUUCCUCAUCCUGGAUCCUGGUUUGGUGGCCAUGAAAGCCAAAACCACUGUGAAAGUUUUUGCCAGUAUACAAGAAAUAGCCACUGAGAAGAUGAUGCCAAAAGCAGUCUGUUGAAGGAGACAGAAUACCCUUCCAGGUCGGCCGAUGAACAGCAGUGCAGAAAGGAAGCAGAGCAGGAGGGAGAUGAGAAGAGUGUAGGUGAGGUCCCGGUUGUUGGCUUUGACAAUGGGUGUGUUGUGAUGCUUCAAAAAUGUUCCCAGGACCAGAGCUGUGAUGAAAGAAAAAGAAAGGGCAAAACAGGCUAAAAUGAUCCCCAAAGGUUCUCCAUAAGUCAAGAAGCUUAUAUCCUUGGGAAUACACACAUCCCGAUUAUUGUUUGGAUAUUCUUCUUC